rnacentral:rRNA from 1 species
UUGGAUGAGUGGCGAACGGGUGAGUAACACGUGAGUAACCUGCCCCUGAUUUCGGGAUAAGCCUGGGAAACUGGGUCUAAUACCGGAUACGACCUCCUGACGCAUGUUGGGUGGUGGAAAGUUUUUCGAUCGGGGAUGGGCUCGCGGCCUAUCAGCUUGUUGGUGGGGUAAUGGCCUACCAAGGCGACGACGGGUAGCCGGCCUGAGAGGGCGACCGGCCACACUGGGACUGAGACACGGCCCAG